rnacentral:rRNA from 2 species
GGACUACUGGGGUUUCUAAUCCUGUUUGCUCCCCUAGCUUUCGUGCCUCAGUGUCAGUUAUUGUCCAGGGACUCGCCUUCGCCACUGGUGUUCCUCUCGAUAUCUACGCAUUUCACUGCUACACCGAGAAUUCCAGUCCCCCUUCCAAUCCUCUAGCAGGAUAGUAUUCAAUGCAGUUUCCGAGUUAAGCUCGGAGAUUUCACAUCAAACUUACCCUGCCACCUACGCACCCUUUACGCCCAGUGAAUCCGAACAACGCUUGGGACCUCUGUAUUACCGCGGCUGCUGGCAC